rnacentral:rRNA from 1 species
CCUACGGGGUGCAGCAGUGGGGGAUAUUGCACAAUGGGGGGGAACCCUGAUGCAGCGACGCCGCGUGGGUGAAGAAGCGCCUCGGCGCGUCAAGCCCUGUCAGCAGGGAAGAAAAUGACGGUACCUGAAGAAGAAGCCCCGGCUAACUACGUGCCAGCAGCCGCGGUAAUACGUAGGGGGCAAGCGUUAUCCGGAUUUACUGGGUGUAACGGGGGCGCAGACGGCGAUGCAAGCCAGGAGUGAAAGCCCGGGGCACAACCCCGGGACUGCUCUUGGAACUGCGUGGCUGGAGUGCAGGAGGGGCAGGCGGAAUGCGUGGUGUAGCGGUGAAAUGCGUAGAUAUCAGGAGGAACACCGGUGGCGAAGGCGGCCGGCUGGACUGCAACUGACGUUGAGGCCCGAAAGCGUGGGGAGCAAACAGGAUUAGAUACCCGAGUAGUC